rnacentral:rRNA from 1 species
CAGCAGCCGCGGGAACACGAAGGGGGCUAGCGUUGUUCGGAUUUACUGGGCGUAAAGCGCACGUAGGCGGAUCGAUCAGUCAGGGGUGAAAUCCCAGAGCUCAACUCUGGAACUGCCUUUGAUACUGUCGAUCUGGAGUAUGGAAGAGGUGAGUGGAAUUCCGAGUGUAGAGGUGAAAUUCGUAGAUAUUCGGAGGAACACCAGUGGCGAAGGCGGCUCACUGGUCCAUUACUGACGCUGAGGUGCGAAAGCGUGGGGAGCAAACAGGAUUAGAUACCCCCGUAGUCCCUGUCUCUUAUAU